AUCACGGGAGCAGGUUGGGUUGCGGGAACAGACUGCUCAUUGCGCAGUACAUGCGAAUGCGAGGCUUAGGCUUGGGCCCAUGCAAGCUUGGAUGGCAUGGCUUGGGCCAUGAUGGAACUUUGUAGUGGUGGUGCCACUCUGCUUACGACCGCAUUUUACCUCAUAGAUCUCUGGGAUCCCAUUUCUUGAGUAUUGGAAAUUUCACUUAUGGAAUUUUCUAAAUUUCUAGUCAUUAUAUUUUUCUUAUACGUUUUAUUGAAGAACCUUUGCAAAUAAAAAAUUCUAAUAAUAAGAACGUAUGAAAAAUAUUCAAAUGGACUAGAAAAUAGAGAAAAACCUUUUUAUACGAGAGUCUUCUACGAGUAUAGAUUUCAACUCUCAAUGAAAGCACCAAUUUGUGGAAGCAAUUUUCUUCCUCCUUGAUCUUCGACAAGAUUGCACCUACAAAAAAAUUUACACCUUAGGUCAAGGCCAAGAGCCUCACGUGCCCACAAUGAAUGAGGGGGCUUUGGCCGAAGAACAUUCGAUGCCGAAGUUAGAAUUUAGAGAGAAAGUGUUUGAGAAUUUUGGAGAAUUUUAGCAAGAGAAUGAGAGGUGUCUUUUGGAGAAGAAAAUAGGGCUUUUAUAGGGGAGUGUGGCCGGCUUUUAAUUGUUUUUUGGGGUGUUAUUUGGUGAUUCAAUUAGCAAUUAAUAUAUUAAUUAGGUAUAAAUAUAUUAAUUGGCUAAUUAUCAUAAUAAAAGAAAUGUUUUGGGAGGUUAUGGGAGGUUAUGUAAUGAUUUCUUUGUAGAGGAUAUGGAGUAAAGAUGGAUGAGAUAAAUUUGAACUUGUUACUUAUUUUAGGCACUCUUGACUCGAUUGAUGAAUGAUUCUCCACUGCUCGUGUCUAGGAAACCCGAUGUGUCUCGAGGCCAAUUUUGUCAUCUUCACCUAAAAAUCCACUUGUCGCCUCUUGAUUAUUUUUGGCUCCACAAUAGCUUUUGGAAACUCUUAUUUGUUUAAUGGAAGGGCAAAGCUUAAUGUUAAUCAUUAUUUAUUGUAUGAGCAACAAAGGAAUCCAAGGAAUGUAUUCGAUCUAAGAGAGAAGUGAUCUAAGUUAGAUUAACGAGACCUUUUCUCUUAUGUGCAUUCUUAAAAAGUUCCUGACCAUAGGAUUGCCAAUAGGACAUUGAAAAUCCGCUAAGGUUAGUAUGUGUUAUGUUAACUCAUGCGGGAGUAUGACUAGUCUUAAGUCAUUUAUUGUUGGACACUGAGACAAACACAUAGGUGCUUGAAAGGUUAAUUGAGUACACUGAACAAUGAUAAAAAAAAUGAGUUCUAACAUACAUGUCGUGUAAGAACUCAUAAGUUGCAAUAUGCAAAGUAGUCAUUUGACCUGAGGCCUUAUAGUUAUCUAAUGGUUAAGUCCUCGAUCUUUGACUAUGUCAAAGGCAUUCGAUUGAGAGUGUCCACGACAUUGUUGAGGUCAAGCUAUCUAGUCAUGUAGACAUGUGGACUAGGCCUGGCAAUUCCUGACACGACCCGAUAA
rnacentral:lncRNA from 1 species